AGAGCGAACGCUGGCGGCAGGCUUAACACAUGCAAGUCGAACGCAUCACUUCGGUGGUGAGUGGCAGACGGGUGAGUAACACGUGGGAACGUACCCUUCGGUUCGGAACAACUCUGGGAAACUGGAGCUAAUACCGGAUACGCCCUUUUGGGGAAAGGUUUACUGCCGAAGGAUCGGCCCGCGUCUGAUUAGCUAGUUGGUGGGGUAACGGCCUACCAAGGCGACGAUCAGUAGCUGGUCUGAGAGGAUGAUCAGCCACAUUGGGACUGAGACACGGCCCAAACUCCUACGGGAGGCAGCAGUGGGGAAUAUUGGACAAUGGGCGCAAGCCUGAUCCAGCCAUGCCGCGUGAGUGAUGAAGGCCUUAGGGUUGUAAAGCUCUUUUGUCCGGGACGAUAAUGACGGUACCGGAAGAAUAAGCCCCGGCUAACUUCGUGCCAGCAGCCGC
rnacentral:rRNA from 1 species